GUAGGUGGCAAGCGUUGUCCGGAAUUAUUGGGCGUAAAGCGCGCGCAGGUGGGGUUCUUUAAGUCUGAUGUGAAAAGCCCCCGGGCUCAACCGGGGAGGGUCAUUGGAAACUGGGGAACUUGAGUGCAGGAGAGGAAAGUGGAAUUCCACGUGUAGCGGUGAAAUGCGUAGAUAUGUGGAGGAACACCAGUGGCGAAGGCGACUUUCUGGCCUGUAACUGACACUGAGGCGACGAAAGCGGUGGGGAGACAAACAGGAUUAGAUACCCUGGUAGUCCACGACCGUAAACGAUGAGUGCUAAGUGGUUUCGGGGGGUUUCCCGCCCCUCAGUGCUGCAGCUAACGCAUUAAGCACUCCGCCGUGGGGAGUACGGUCGCAAGACU
rnacentral:rRNA from 1 species